UACGAAGGUGGCAAGCGCUAUUCGGAUUUACUGGGCGUACAGGGAGCGUAGGCGGUUCGGUAAGCCCUUUGUGAAAUCUUCAGGCUUAACCUGGAAAAGUCGGAGGGGACUGCCGGGCUAGAGGACGGGAGAGGAGCGCGGAAUUCCCGGUGUAGCGGUGAAAUGCGUAGAGAUCGGGAGGAAGGCCGGUGGCGAAGGCGGCGCUCUGGAACGUUUCUGACGCUGAGGCUCGAAAGCGUGGGGAGCAAACAGG
rnacentral:rRNA from 1 species